CCUACGGGAGGCAGCAGUGGGGAAUAUUGGACAAUGGGCGAAAGCCUGAUCCAGCCAUGCCGCGUGUGUGAAGAAGGCCUUCGGGUUGUAAAGCACUUUCAGUGGGGAAGAAAGCCUUGGGGCUAAUACCCUCGAGGAAGGACAUCACCCACAGAAGAAGCACCGGCUAACUCCGUGCCAGCAGCCGCGGUAAUACGGAGGGUGCGAGCGUGAAUCGGAAUUACUGGGCGUAAAGCGCGCGUAGGCGGUCUGAUAAGCCGGUUGUGAAAGCCCCGGGCUCAACCUGGGAACGGCAUCCGGAACUGUCAGGCUAGAGUGCAGGAGAGGAAGGUAGAAUUCCCGGUGUAGCGGUGAAAUGCGUAGAGAUCGGGAGGAAUACCAGUGGCGAAGGCGGCCUUCUGGACUGACACUGACGCUGAGGUGCGAAAGCGUGGGUAGCAAACAGGAUUAGAUACCCCGGUAGUC
rnacentral:rRNA from 1 species